UACGUAGGGUGCAAGCGUUGUCCGGAAUUAUUGGGCGUAAAGAGCUCGUAGGCGGUUUGUCGCGUCUGCUGUGAAAACUCGGGGCUUAACCCCGGGCCUGCAGUGGGUACGGGCAGACUAGAGUGCGGUAGGGGAGACUGAAAUUCCUGGUGUAGCGGUGAAAUGCGCAGAUAUCAGGAGGAACACCGGUGGCGAAGGCGGGUCUCUGGGCCGUAACUGACGCUGAGGAGCGAAAGCGUGGGGAGCGAACAGG
rnacentral:rRNA from 1 species